rnacentral:lncRNA from 1 species
CCCAUUCUGUGAUACUAUGCCUUUGCAAACUCAAUCUCCCAAGGGACUCUGCAAGCUAGUCAUGUGACAUACUUCUGACCAAUGAGAGGCCAGCAGAAGUCUUUGUGAGAGGCUGCCAGGAUUUACCGGUUCCAGUCUCUUUUGCUUUCUGUUUUCUCUUUCUUCCUGUCUGGAAUGUAGCUGUAGUGCCUGAAAGGGCUGCGGCUAUUUUGCAAACCUGGGGUGGAAGUUACCUGUUUCUGAUGGCAGAGAGGUGCUAGAAGGUGCCAGGGUCCGUGCAAGUCCGAAUCAUCAUGCCAGCCUUCUCCGGAUUCUGGCCACUACCGGGAGCGGAUUCCCUGAGGUCCGCCUAAUGUUUGGUUGUGGAUCUCUGCAUCUGUUUCCAUCUGUUGCUGGAUGAAGCCUCUCUGAUGACAGUUGGGCUAGGCACCAAUCUCAGAGUGAUGGAUCUGCACCUAGACCCAUGGCAGCUGCGAGCCAACCCUGCAAACAGUAGGACCUGAUGACUGGACAGUUACAAUGCUGAGGCCAAUGCCAGAUCCAGUGAGAAGACCUCUGUCCACUCCUCCCAUUGCAGACCAGAGGCAGGAUGGCAUAGGGAGGGGAGACCUUGCCUUCAGCCAGGAGCCAGAGGCGCCACACAUCAAAAGGUGGUUUUGAAGGGGCUGCCCCCAUCACUCCUAAUGACCUCCAGUGACAUUUUGUGUGUCCACCCUGCAACUUUGGGUUUCCCUGGUUUUGAAGUCCUGGUUCUCAUGGAAUUCACAGAAGAAGAAAUGCACAUGGAUGCUCAAGCUACAGGGAGCCUGUUGGUUAAAUAAAGACUUAAUGCAGACAUGCCCUCCCACACACACAAAAUCCUCCUGCAAACAGUGUGAUGGGCCUGCUGGACAAGCUUUUGGGAGGAAGCCACAGAGAGGGAAUGACCCCACAUCUUCCUCAAGUUUCACAAGGAGUCAUGACAACCUUCCCAGAUCUUGGGCUUCUUUGAGAGCCAUCUUACACUGUCGAGCCAGUGGCCUCUAGGAUGGACUCUGAUUCCCCAACUCUGCUUGUCUCCAUGUCACUGGAAGCCACUGCCUGGUGUGUGGGCACUGAAGCCCCUGGGGCCAAUACAAACACUUUAUUUAACUCCUUGCCUUUGGCUCCAGUAGGACACCAUGCCCUGUCACAUUUGGUGUGAGAUCUUAAUUCUUUAAGAAGUACUUCCUUGGGCUGGAGAGAUGAAGAGCACUGGCUGCUCUUCCAGAGGUCCUGAGUUCAAUUCCCAGCAACCACAUGGUGGCUCACAGUCAUCUGUAAUGAGAUCUGGUGCCCUCUUCUGGCCUGCAGGCAUAUAUGGAGGCAGAAUGUUAUAUAA